rnacentral:rRNA from 1 species
GACGAACGCUGGCGGCGUGCUUAACACAUGCAAGUCGAACGGUAAGGCCCUUCGGGGUACACGAGUGGCGAACGGGUGAGUAACACGUGGGUGAUCUGCCCUGCACUUCGGGAUAAGCCUGGGAAACUGGGUCUAAUACCGGAUAGGACCACUGCCUGCAUGGGUGGUGGUGGAAAGCUUUUGCGGUGUGGGCUGGGCCCGCGGCCUAUCAGCUUGUUGGUGGGGUGAUGGCCGACCAAGGCGACGACGGGUAGCCGGCCUGAGAGGGUGACCGGCCACACUGGGACUGAGGUACGGCCACGACUGCUAGGGGAUGCAGCAGUGGGGAAUAUUGCACAAUGGGCGCAAGCCUGAUGCAGCGACGCCGCGUGAGGGAUGACGGCCUUCGGGUAGUAAACCUCUUUCAGCACCGACGAAGCGCAAGUGACAGUAGGUGCAGAAGAAGGACCGGCCAACUAGGUGCCAGCCGCCGCGGUAA